AGCGAACGCUGGCGGCAGGCUUAACACAUGCAAGUCGAACGCCCCGCAAGGGGAGUGGCAGACGGGUGAGCAACACGUGGGAACGUACCCUAUGGUUCGGAAUAACUUGGGGAAACUCAAGCCAAUACCGGAUAAGCCCUUAUGGGGACAGGUUUACUGCCGAAGGAUCGGCCCGCGUCUGAUUAGCUAGUUGGUGAGGUAAUGGCUCACCAAGGCGACGAUCAGUAGCUGGUCUGAGAGGAUGAUCAGCCACACUGGGACUGAGACACGGCCCAGACUCCUACGGGAGGCAGCAGUGGGGAAUAUUGGACAAUGGGGGCAACCCUGAUCCAGCCAUGCCGCGUGAGUGAUGAAGGCCUUAGGGUUGUAAAGCUCUUUUACCCGGGACGAUAAUGACUGUACCGGGAGAAUAAGCCCCGGCUAACUUCGUGCCAGCCGCCGCCGUAA
rnacentral:rRNA from 1 species